rnacentral:rRNA from 1 species
UACGUAGGGUGCGAGCGUUAAUCGGAAUUACUGGGCGUAAAGCGUGCGCAGGCGGUUUUGUAAGCCAGGUGUGAAAUCCCCGGGCUCAACCUGGGAAUGGCAUUUGGGACUGCAAGGCUGGAGUGCGGCAGAGGAGACUGGAAUUCCUGGUGUAGCAGUGAAAUGCGUAGAUAUCGGGAGGAACACCUGUGGCGAAAGCGGCUCACUGGACCACAACUGACGCUGAUGCACGAAAGCUAGGGGAGCAAACAGG